UUUUGGUUCACUACCUAAUUUGAUUCUCUGAUCCUUGUAUGGGGUGUUCUGGAUAUGGUGAAGUAUGCAUGAAGGUUGUGAGUGAUCAAUAAGGGAUCAGUCACUCCUAAUAAGAGAAGCAAAUAUCCUAUGUGAUCUCAUAGGACGGUGAUUCUGGAAGUCUUUUGCCAAAGCAAGGUGAUAAUUAGAAAAUUUUUUUUAAUGUAUUAUCAACUGAAUCAUCGCCUUCAGAUCAAAAAAUUCAAUUCCUGAGCAUUUUAGAAGAACAAAUAGAAGAAAUUCUUGACAAACAAAGGUCUAUGAAUGGGGUUGCAAACUAUCUUCCUGAAUUUGGCAAUAAGUCGAUGAAAUCUAUAAAUAAAGGGAUCACAAGUCAUAUUCCUGAGAUUGGCAAUUCAAAACUAUUAAAAUUUAUCAAUCCAAUAUUCGACACG
rnacentral:lncRNA from 1 species